rnacentral:rRNA from 1 species
UACGAAGGGGGCGAGCGUUGUUCGGAUUUACUGGGCGUAAAGGGCGCGUAGGCGGCGGCCCAAGUCGAGUGUGAAAGCCCCGGGCUCAACCUGGGAGGUGCGCUCGAGACUGGGUUGCUGGAGUUCGGGAGAGGAGCGUGGAAUUCUCGGUGUAGAGGUGAAAUUCGUAGAUAUCGAGAGGAACACCGGUGGCGAAGGCGGCCAACUGGACGAAUACUGACGCUGAGACUCGAAAGCGUGGGGAGCAAACAGG